rnacentral:lncRNA from 1 species
GGUCGGAUCGUCAGAGAGUAGAAAUCCGUAUGGUAAGAUUAGAUCUUGCCUGAGAAAACAAGUUAGGAAUGGCUUCUUCUUCUUCUUCUUCUGUUUUUUUUUGAACUGUCCUUGCGUUCAUCCUUGGGCAUGGGCUAAAAGCUAGGCCUUGGGUACUUCGAGAAGGGGGAAAUAUACCUGUCAUCAUUUCCAUUAAAAACUGGAUAGCAUACCACGGUCAGUAUAAUCA